rnacentral:rRNA from 1 species
GACGAACGCUGGCGGCGUGCCUAAUACAUGCAAGUCGAGCGAAUCUUAGGGAGCUUGCUCCCUAUAGAUUAGCGGCGGACGGGUGAGUAACACGUGGGUAACCUGCCUGUAAGACUGGGAUAACUUCGGGAAACCGGAGCUAAUACCAGAUAAUUUCUUUUCUCGCAUGAGGAGAGAUGGAAAAGAUGGUUUCGGCUAUCACUUACAGAUGGACCCGCGGCGCAUUAGCUAGUUGGUGAGGUAACGGCUCACCAAGGCCACGGAUGCGUAGCCGACCUGAGAGGGU